CACGCGGUAAACGAUGAGUGCUAGGUGUAGGGGGUAUCGACCCCUCCUGUGCCGCAGUAAACACAAUAAGCACUCCGCCUGGGGAGUACGGCCGCAAGGUUGAAACUCAAAGGAAUUGACGGGGGCCCGCACAAGCAGCGGAGCAUGUGGUUUAAUUCGACGCAACGCGAAGAACCUUACCAGGUCUUGACAUCGAUCUAAACCUCUGGAGACAGGGGGUCCCUUCGGGGGAGAGAAGACAGGUGG
rnacentral:rRNA from 1 species